rnacentral:rRNA from 1 species
GAUGAACGCUAGCGGCAGGCCUAAUACAUGCAAGUCGAGGGGUAGAGUUAGCUUGCUAACUUGAGACCGGCGCACGGGUGCGUAACGCGUAUGCAACCUACCUUUAUCUGGGGGAUAGCCCGAAGAAAUUCGGAUUAACACCGCAUAAAAUCACAGUAUCGCAUGAUGCAAUGAUCAAAUAUUUAUAGGAUAAAGAUGGGCAUGCGUGUCAUUAGUUAGUUGGCGGGGUAACGGCCACCAAGACCACGAUGACUAGGGGAUCUGAGAGGAUGACCCCCCACACUGGUACUGAGACACGGACCAGACUCCUACGGGAGGCAGCAGUAAGGAAUAUUGGUCAAUGGAGGCAAACUCUGAACCAGCCAUGCCGCGUGCAGGAAGACGGCCCUCUGGGUUGUAAACUGCUUUUAUUCGGGAAUAAACCUAUCUACGUGUAGAUAGCUGAAUGUACCGAAGGAAUAAGGAUCGGC